AGGUUUGUUUAUUUGAAAUUAUGACCAUUGAAAUCAGCUGGCUUAUUAUUCUAAAGAGGAUUAAGUUCCUCCUAGAAAACAGCUCUUCAAUAAAAAUAUUCCAGGUUCCCAACGAACCAGCAUCAACAACAUCAGCGUAACCACCAGUUUAGCAAUCACGACAGGACAGGAUGCAUCAACUGCUAGUUGACGACGCAGCACAACUCCCGGAACAAAAUCUGCACAAACCCCGCAUCACAUCAGGACGGACAAAGAAGAAACGGAGUCGCCACAAACGAUGAAAACACUUGCAAAAAAUUAUGAUCAAGCGCAAAAAAACAUGAUCAAGCAACAAAACUAAAGGAAAUGGCAACAGCAACAAGCAGGACAGGAAAACAACUCGCAAGAAACAUCACACAAGAUGAAAAGACGAAGAAGAAGAAGAAGAAGAAGAAGAAAAAUGCAACAAUUAAGUUCCUACUCUAAAACAUAGAUAAAAAUAUACGUUAUAAACGAGAGUGUAAUGUAAUUGUAAUCUUAGGUCGCUACGAAGGAGACACGGACGGAAGUUUUCACUGGGGCACGGCCAAAACCUCCGCCACUGUUUUGGGCAGUAAAACUGUAAAGUUAAGAGACUGAUGCGCUGCGCGGUGGAGCCCAAACUUUCUUUGCUCGCAACUUGCUGCUCAAAUCCAGAACGGUUCGUCACCGACAGAACCAGCAAACUGGCAACACUUCCUGUGUCCACCUGUUUUCUUCGCUGCAGCGACCUUCACUGGAGAAGUGUCGUUCUGUAUGCAGUUGAGGGGUGUGGGAGGAGCACUGAAGGAAGCGUUGCCAGAUUGGUGGGGGGGUGCGCGGUCUGAUGGAUUGGUUUUGAUUUGAAGGGUGAGUGAGGGGAUGAGGGAUCGGGUGAAACCAGUGGCGCCAGUUUUGCACCUCGCUUGCUCCCACUUUGGGGAGGAUGGACUGUGCGGUGGGAGACUUCCGGUUAAGGAUUAAAACUACUUGUAAAAUUUAACAAUUGCAAAGAUAGUAACACUGUAUAACUUGUCGACGGAAUAUGAGCAAAACACAAGUCAUCUACUGUAUUUUGAAGUGAGUGAAAGCAGUAAAUUUUAUAUAGCAAGAGCAGUUCAUAAGGGCAAUGUGUAAUUUUUGUUUGUUUCUAUACUGUUAGAAGAGUUUUCUUUUGUAUCGGUGUACUUCUUGGGUGCAAAGCUUGGUUGAGUAGGGUAAAAAUGAACCCAAAAUUAGUCAUUUAAUGCGAUUUUUGGUGCCGGGUUGUAGAAAGCAUUGUCUCGUAACAUAUUAUACUCAAAUGAAGAGUAACUCCUAGUAUUAACUGAUGAUACUUAAUGUAGUUGGCUUAAAGCUUUAUUUUAAAUAAAACCAAAAAAUGCAAAAAAAUAUUAAAAGAAGAAAAUCCCAAAAAAAAGAGUGCAUAGAUGGAAGUUAACCAAUUUAGUUCAGCGAGAACUCAGUCGCUUAGUGUACUUUUCAACGUGCAAUGUUCAUAUGCAGAAAAUGUAUUGAUCAAAACAAUACGAUUGCGAGGUAUCAACAACAAAAUCGAUGAAUGAAUAUGCAUUGGUAAAACUCAAGCUCUUUUCCUGAAGUCGACAGGAGAAGCGUUUCAAGUUUUGCUCAACAAGCAAUUAUCUUAAAAAUAUUUAUCUUUAGCAUGUACCAAAAUAUUUGCGAGUAAAAAAACACAGUGUAUGAUAAAAAAUAAAGUUCCUAAAGAGCCGUCCCUCCCUCCAAACAGAGUGGGUGGACGUUAGGGGCUAAACUACUAAUCUUAGUGUUAUAUAGAGUCGAACCCGUGUAGUUGAGAAAAACUUAAGGCACCAAAAUAUCGCUCAUAACACUCGCAGAACAUUUGUUCCUUUUAAGAAAAGAAAGCAUUAUAAAUCAUUCCCAGCCAAACUUUGCAUUUUCGAUGACCACCCAGCACGAUUAUUUGUUUUCCAAAUCAAGCUUCUUGAUAACAUGAGACAUGAAACUCGCAUUCCUAAAGGCAAACACGGUAUAUUUAAAUGAAACAAUCAUUAAAUGGGAGUACCAAUUGGCUUGACUUUCGCGAUAGUUUGGUCGCAAGAUUCGUUAAUUUUUGGACUAAAGGUGAAAAAUCAGAACAAAGUACUCGCGUGAACAACAAUAAUAGAGUUUAGAGAUGAAUCCGGAAGAACUAAGAAAAAAAAAAAAACAAGUAUCGAGAGUGAAAAAUUACACAGAUCCAAAAACAAACAUUUUGUUCCUAUGAAAAUGAGAGAAAAAAACACACGCAAAAUUGCUGAAAGAUAAAAAAUGAGAGAACUAACGAAAAGACUCGACAUAUCAUGAAUGUUUAAUUUUGUCCUCGCAAAAAGUUUUUAAAGAACGACCCACACCAAAAGAAUGCACCCGCAGACUACGGUCGAAUACAGUUGCGCGCGAAUGAGCUGCAGUUUUAACAAAAAGAAUCACUCAUUAACUAAUACUUACCUACUACCACUACUUACUACUAAUAAUAGAAUGGCAGCAACAAAACUGGAUAUUCAUAUAUACUCGAUGUUUCAGCUAAUGUCCACCAGAUGUCCCCCUUCCCGUUUCCCCCACAAACACACACAAACAAACAGAAACAGUUAUCAGCACGCGUGUCAGAGACAAACGGAGAUCGCACACACGGUUUUGUUUCUAACUACUACAAAGUUCCUGCUGGGGUUCCGCAAAGAUGGCGGAUUCCCCAAUGUUUGGUCAUUAUUCCUUUGUUAGUAUAUUCGGUAAUGCCUAAAAUUUAAAACAUGUCUUUCAUAGAUUAACGAAAUAAGCGUAAAGAUGUCAUCUUUGAGAGUCUUGUUCUAAAAUUUAAGCGUCAAAGUGCUUAAAAUACUAUUGUUUAUCCUAUUGUUCAACUUGAUGUCGCCAUACCGAAGCUUUCGGUAAUGUCGUUGGCUGCAUUGACUUAGAAACAAUGGAGUUUUUAAUUUAACCCCACAAAACACCCAUCAAAACAAAACUCGAAUGUUCCUAUAACGAAAAAAUCCCGUGAAAUCAACGCAGGUUUUUGUUUUGUUUUCCAGUCAGUUAUUAAGUUUCGCAAAGAUUCAUGUGCAAUUCCCCGCCACUACUACAACGUUGAUCGAAGGUGAAAUUUGUUUGCAAAUUAUGAAAGAAAAUACACAUUCAAAAUGAUAUGCGUACUAUUUGAAAUACUCAUAAUAACCACACUUGGAAAAAAACAAGUGUUGAGUUUUCGAUUGAUCUGUGAAAAUAAAUGAAAAACAGAAAAUUUGUGAAGAACUUGCGCAAAACUUUAAACACUCGCAGAACUUGCUACUUGUGUGAGAGAAAUGAACUUGAAUACAGACGGACACACACAUGCAACACUAUUAUUAUUAUUAUGAUUAUUACAAGAUAAAGAAACACUCUCUCACACACACAAACAAUUGUAAAAGAUAUAUUGUCAGAUGUAAAAGUAAAUGAAAAUAAAUACUAAUAAUAAUAAAAACUUAUUUGGUAGUCAA